AGCCCGUCACAUCUUCUGUGCGCAUUUUCGUGCUAAUUUCAGCUCGUUUGCAGCUCAAGGAGCUUCAGAGCUUCUUCUCAGAAAAAGAUGUCUGAACCAGCAAAGCUGCAUGUAAUUCUGGGGGACCAUGAUAUACGAAAGCUAGUCUUGUCUUCUGGGAUACCUGAUUCAUGUCAAGACCUGGAAAUGAUCAUCAGAGAGACAUUUCAGCUUCAGGGAAACUUCAGUUUACACUACAAGGAUGCUGAUUUUGUUUAGUUUUUUUCCUUGACCACAGCAGCAGACCUUAAAGACAAGGACACUGUCGUAGUCCUUGUUGAGCCUUUAUAUAUAACUUUAACCAAAAGUGUCCCAUCAGAAAGUGUCUCCAGAAAAUCAGAUGCCUCUUCAUGUUCAUGUUUUUCUUCAUCUGCUGACACAGUACUUCUGUCUUCUCCAGAGUCCCAUAGGCGUUCACAACAGUGGCCAUCACAUUUUGAAAUUCCAGAGUUUGCUUAUGAUACAGAGCUGAUUCUUGAGUCUGCCAAUGCUGCAUUCAAAAAGGAUGGCACAUUUUUUAAUCAAUCCGAGCAUCAAGUCUGAUAUUCUUGAAAAACUGUCUCAAAAGAUCUGCCAGUAUUGUGCAGAUCCAACCAGUCAGCAGAUAUGCAGUGUUGCUGAGGUAUUGGUCCAAAAGCAUCUGUGCUUGAAGGAACCAGGUUCAUUCUCUUGGUUAAAUACAAGAUGGGAAAUUACAGGUCAAAGUUGAGAAGUCUAGGAUGCCCAAAGCAUGUUGUGAACUAAGAUGACCGCACCAAAAACUCAAAAAGCCAUGUAAAGCAGAGGUUAAUUACCUUCCCCCACACCCCACUAGAGAAUCUAGAGAAAGUCUCAAAAGGAGAGGGAAGAUCUUCUGACUGAGGUCAAGAAAAAAGACAGUUGGAAGAUCAUUAAUGAGAAGAUGUCAAGAACAUUUUCCAAUCAAAGACAGGAGAUUGUGAAAGAAAGCCCAGCCAUAGAGGAUCUUCUUCAUAGAUGGCCUGCUUUAUUUGAAGCUACUCAGAUAAAGGAAGAAUUCAAGCAAAAAAACACCAGUUCAGCUGGAAACAACGUUCAUGGCAAAUUUUGGCAAGUACACGGGCAGACUCUUGUCUUCCGUGCACCUUCCUUGUCUUUCGUUCCGUACCAAAGGAGGUGCUGCUGGUCGGAAGAUGGGUAACCUUCUAGAUGUUUUGAAACAGGAUGAGACUGCUGAAAAGUGCAGAGAGGUAGUGAUGUAGUCCUGUACUUUUCUGAAAACGGAGAAGAUCUCAUUAAAGAUUACCGUGGCGCUCCGAUUGAUGAAAUGAAAGCUGAACUUGCACAGAAGACAAUGAAGAUUUUCACCAAAGGUGGUUCUACGGAGGAUGAUUCCUAUAACACGCUGGGAUUGUGCUGGAAGGCAGAGAAGAUCUGGUUGGUCUGUCAAGCAUAGCAAUGGCAUGUGCCUUGCUGCUUGGACUAAUCUAUGCUGUGAACAUUAGCUACCCCAAACAACUCGGAUACACAUUUGAAUUUUUUCAGAAGAUGCUGUUAGAACUUGACAGUGGGAGGCUUUCACCAAAGGUGCACUCACUGAAAUCAAAGUUACUGAGUGAAACAAAGUUGUAGAUCUCAAAAUCUCCAAAGGUGUGCAGGUUGCCAAGUUAAAACUAAGCAGCAGCUUCCCAGGAACUCGUUAUGUGUUACGUUUUUGUGCAAUUUGCUGCUGUUUUUGGUUAAUGGUGUGUUGUUGGCUGUGUUUUAAUAUCAGUGAAAUGUUGCUCCUAUCAUUGCCACUAGUUUGUCUAGUUUCUGUUUCUAUGCACUUCAGAGUUCAUCACAAAUGAUUGAAGACUGUGUUCAUUGUUUUGUCUUUUUCCCUCCCCGACUUGAACACACAUUCUUGGACUGAGAUUCUACACCUAUCAGUCACUUCAUUAAACCACCUCCUUGUUA